AACGUAGGACGCAAGCGUUAUCCGGAGUUACUGGGCGUAAAGCGCGGGCAGGCGGCUCGAUGCGUCUGAUGUGAAAUCUCCUCGCUCAACGGGGAGAGGCCAUUGGAAACGGUCGGGCUGGAGGGCAGUAGAGGCAGGCGGAAUUCCGGGUGGAGUGGUGAAAUGCGUAGAGAUCCGGAGGAACACCGGAGGCGAAGGCGGCAUGCUGGGCUGCAACUGACGCUGAGCCGCGAAAGCCAGGGGAGCAAACGGG
rnacentral:rRNA from 1 species